GUCAGAUCAUUGAUCAAAAGGGGUAUAUCAGGACCUUCACCUUUCAGUAUAUGUUGAUUACUACGUCUUCAAAAAAUAAGAGGCUGCCUGGGUCUUUAAAAAAAAAAAAGUGACUUUGAUACUAUGACAUAUGAUUCUGGCCUGCUAAACAGGUUUCCUCCUAAUUUCUGUGGAAAACAAUAAAUGACUAUACGACAGGGAGAGGGCAGUACUAUUUAUACUAGUGAUUUUAUAGUUCUGUUUUUUGUCUUUUCUAGGUGAGGAACUAAUCUGUGAAAGGAUGAACCUAAGAAUCAUAACCAUUU